CCUAGUAACGGCGAGUGAAGCGGCAACAGCUCAAAUUUGAAAUCUUGGCCCUCGGGUCCGAGUUGUAAUUUGUAGAGGAUGCUUUUGGUGCGGUACCUUCCGAGUUCCCUGGAACGGGACGCCAUAGAGGGUGAGAGCCCCGUCUGGUUGGAUACCAAUCCUCUGUAAAGCUCCUUCGACGAGUCGAGUAGUUUGGGAAUGCUGCUCUAAAUGGGAGGUAUAUGUCUUCUAAAGCUAAAUACCGGCCAGAGACCGAUAGCGCACAAGUAGAGUGAUCGAAAGAUGAAAAGCACUUUGAAAAGAGGGUUAAACAGUACGUGAAAUUGUUGAAAGGGAAGCGCUUGUGACCAGACUUGGGCAUGGUUAAUCAUCCAGCGUUCUCGCUGGUGCACUUGGCCUGCCCAGGCCAGCAUCAGUUCGGUGCGGGGGAUAAAGGCUUCGGGAAUGUGGCUCCUCCGGGAGUGUUAUAGCCCGUUGUGCAAUACCCUGCGCUGGACUGAGGUUCGCGCAUCUGCAUGGAUGCUGGCGUAAUGGUCAUCAGCGACCCGUCUUGAAACACGGACCAAGGAGUCGUCCUCGUAUGCGAGUGUUCGGGUGUUAAACCCCUACGCGUAAUGAAAGUGAACGCAGGUGAGAGCUUCGGCGCAUCAUCGACCGAUCCUGAUGUUCUCGGAUGGAUUUGAGUAAGAGCAUACGGGGCCGGACCCGAAAGAAGGUGAACUAUGCCUGUAUAGGGUGAAGCCAGAGGAAACUCUGGUGGAGGCUCGCAGCGGUUCUGACGUGCAAAUCGAUCGUCAAAAUAUGGGCAUGGGGGCGAAAGACUA
rnacentral:rRNA from 3 species